CCCAAACAGGGAGACUCCAAAAGGGAGCACUUUCCUGUCCGCAGCACGGCGAGUGCUCCCGUUUGGAGUGCCCCUGUCUGGG
ensembl:miRNA